ACGCUAGCUACAGGCUUAACACAUGCAAGUCGAGGGGAAACGGCAUUAAGUGCUUGCACUUUUUGGACGUCGACCGGCGCACGGGUGAGUAACGCGUAUCCAACCUUCCCAUGACUAAGGGAUAACCUGCCGAAAGGCAGACUAAUACCUUAUGGUCUUCACUGACGGCGUCAGAUGUGAAGUAAAGAUUUAUCGGUUAUGGAUGGGGAUGCGUCUGAUUAGUUAGUUGGCGGGGUAACGGCCCACCAAGGCAACGAUCAGUAGGGGUUCUGAGAGGAAGGUCCCCCACAUUGGAACUGAGACACGGUCCAAACUCCUACGGGAGGCAGCAGUGAGGAAUAUUGGUCAAUGGGCGAGAGCCUGAACCAGCCAAGUAGCGUGCAGGAUGACGGCCCUAUGGGUUGUAAACUGCUUUUGUAUGGGGAUAAAGUCAAUCACGUGUGAUUGUUUGCAGGUACCAUACGAAUAAGGACCGGCUAAUUCCGUGCCAGCAGCCGCGGUAAUACGGAAGGUCCGGGCGUUAUCCGGAUUUAUUGGGUUUAAAGGGAGCGUAGGCUGGAGAUUAAGUGUGUUGUGAAAUGUAGACGCUCAACGUCUGACUUGCAGCGCAUACUGGUUUCCUUGAGUACGCACAACGUUGGCGGAAUUCGUCGUGUAGCGGUGAAAUGCUUAGAUAUGACGAAGAACUCCGAUUGCGAAGGCAGCUGACGGGAGCGCAACUGACGCUGAAGCUCGAAGGUGCGGGUAUCGAACAGGAUUAGAUACCCUGGUAGUCCGCACAGUAAACGAUGGAUGCCCGCUGUUGGUACUUGGUAUCAGCGGCUAAGCGAAAGCAUUAAGCAUCCCACCUGGGGAGUACGCCGGCAACGGUGAAACUCAAAGGAAUUGACGGGGGCCCGCACAAGCGGAGGAACAUGUGG
rnacentral:rRNA from 1 species